rnacentral:rRNA from 1 species
GACGAACGCUGGCGGCGUGCCUAAUACAUGCCAGUAGAACGCACAGUUUAUACCGUAGCUUGCUACACCAUAGACUGUGAGUUGCGAACGGGUGAGUAACGCGUAGGUAACCUGCCUGGUAGCGGGGGAUAACUAUUGGAAACGAUAGCUAAUACCGCAUAAUAUUAAUUAUUGCAUGAUAAUUGAUUGAAAGAUGCAACUGCAUCACUACCAGAUGGACCUGCGUUGUAUUAGCUAGUAGGUGAGGUAACGGCUCACCUAGGCGACGAUACAUAGCCGACCUGAGAGGGUGAUCGGCCACACUGGGACUGAGACACGGCCCAGACUCCUACGGGAGGCAGCAGUAGGGAAUCUUCGGCAAUGGACGAAAGUCUGACCGAGCAACGCCGCGUGAGUGAAGAAGGUUUUCGGAUCGUAAAGCUCUGUUGUAAGAGAAGAACGGGUGUGAGAGUGGAAAGUUCACACUGUGACGGUAUCUUACCAGAAAGGGACGGCUAACUACGUG